rnacentral:rRNA from 1 species
GCAUAUCAAUAAGCGGAGGAAAAGAAACUAACAAGGAUUCCCCUAGUAACGGCGAGUGAAGCGGGAUGAGCUCAAAUUUAAAAUCUGGCGGCCUCAGGUCGUCCGAGUUGUAGUCUAGAGAAUCGUUUUCCGCGUUGGCCUGUGUACAAGUCCCUUGGAACAGGGCGUCAUAGAGGGUGAGAAUCCCGUCCUUGACACAGACUACCAAUGCUUUGUGAUGCGAUCUCGAAGAGUCGAGUUGUUUGGGAAUGCAGCUCAAAAUGGGUGGUAAAUUCCAUCUAAAGCUAAAUAUUGGCGAGAGACCGAUAGCGAACAAGUACCGUGAGGGAAAGAUGAAAAGCACUUUGGAAAGAGAGUUAAACAGUACGUGAAAUUGUUAAAAGGGAAACGAUUGAAGUCAGUCAUGCUUUCCGAGACUCAGCCGAUUCUGUCGGUGUACUUCUCGGUUGGCAGGCCAGCAUCAGUUUCGAUCUGUGGAAAAGGUUGGAGGGAACGUGGCAUCCUCGGAUGUGUUAUAGCCCUUCUUCGAAUACAUAGAGCGGGACUGAGGAACGCAGCGCGCCUUUUAUUAGGUUGGCCCUCGGGUACAUACGCGCUUAGGAUGCUGGCAUAAUGGCUUUAAACGACCC